UACGUAGGGUGCAAGCGUUGUCCGGAAUUAUUGGGCGUAAAGAGCUCGUAGGCGGUUUGUCGCGUCGAAUGUGAAAACCCGGGGCUCAACUCCGGGCCUGCAUUCGAUACGGGCAGACUAGAGUUCGGUAGGGGAGUCUGGAAUUCCUGGUGUAGCGGUGAAAUGCGCAGAUAUCAGGAGGAACACCGGUGGCGAAGGCGGGUCUCUGGGCAGUAACUGACGCUGAGGAGCGAAAGCGUGGGGAGCGAACAGG
rnacentral:rRNA from 1 species